ACUUGGAGAAUGAACAAUAGGUUACUGAAUGAUCAAUGGGUUAUAGAAGACAUCAAGGAGGAAAUUAAAAAAUUCUUAGAACUGCUUUCAAUGUGUCCCAUAGAUUCCGAUAUGUUGUGUCUGUGUUUUCAUUAAUCUGUAAGAAUUUUUUAAUUUCUUCCUUGAUGUCUUCUAUAACCCAUUGAUCAUUCAGUAACCUAUUGUUCAUUCUCCAAGUG
rnacentral:miRNA from 1 species